UACGGAGGGUGCAAGCGUUAUCCGGAUUCACUGGGUUUAAAGGGUGCGUAGGUGGAUUGGUAAGUCAGUGGUGAAAUCUCCGGGCUUAACCCGGAAACUGCCAUUGAUACUAUCAGUCUUGAAUACCGUGGAGGUCAGUAGAAUAUGUCAUGUAGCGGUGAAAUGCUUAGAUAUGACAUAGAAUACCAAUUGCGAAGGCAGCUGGCUACACGAAUAUUGACACUCAGGCACGAAAGCGUGGGGAUCAAACAGGAUUAGAUACCCUGGUAGUCCACGCCCUAAACGAUGGAUACUCGACAUACGCGAUACACUGUGUGUGUCUGAGCGAAAGCAUUAAGUAUCCCACCUGGGAAGUACGAUCGCAAGAUUGAAACUCAAAGGAAUUGGCGGGGGUCCGCACAAGCGGUGGAGCAUGUGGUUUAAUUCGAUGAUACGCGAGGAACCUUACCUGGGCUAGAAUGCUGGGAGACCGAGGGUGAAAGCUCUCUUUGUAGCAAUACACUGCCAGUAAGGUGCUGCAUGGCUGUCGUCAGCUCGUGCCGUGAGAUGUUGGGUUAAGUCCCGCAACGAGCGCAACCCUCGCCUCUAGUUACCAUCAUUUAGUUGGGUACUUUAGAGGAACCGCCGGUGAUAAGCCGGAGGAAGGUGGGGAUGACGUCAAGUCCUCAUGGCCCUUACGCGCUGGGCUACACACGUGCUACAAUGGCGGUGACAGUGGGCAGCAAUCCCGCGAGGGUGAGCUAAUCUCCAAAAACCGUCUCAGUUCGGAUUGUUCUCUGCAACUCGAGAGCAUGAAGGCGGAAUCGCUAGUAAUCGCGGAUCAGCAUGCCGCGGUGAAUACGUUCCCAGGCCU
rnacentral:rRNA from 1 species